rnacentral:lncRNA from 1 species
CGCAGGCUCCCGUCGCCGACGCAGCGGCGGCGCCGGCGCCACGUCUCCUAGGCAGAGCGAAGCGGACCCGAGAGGCGGCGGCGGUGGCAGCGGUGGUGUGGCGGCUGCGGCUGGGGCUGUGGCCAUGGCCUUCACCCUGUACUCGUUGCUGCAGGCGGCCCUCCUCUGCGUCAACGCCAUCGCCGUGCUGCACGAGGAGCGCUUCCUAAAGAACAUUGGCUGGGGAACAGACCAGGGAAUUGGAGGAUUUGGAGAGGAGCCAGGAAUUAAAUCACAGCUAAUGAACCUCAUUCGAUCUGUACGAACAGUUAUGAGAGUGCCAUUGAUAAUAGUAAACUCAAUUGCUAUUGUGUUACUCUUACUGUUUGGGUGAACUUCGAAAAUUGAAAAAAAAAAACUGGAGAAUCAGAAGUGGAGAAACCAGCAAGAGCCAUCACUUCAGUCGUUAUUGGGAUGUGUAGCUUAGCUGGCCAAGCUUGCACUUGAAGUAAACUACAAAGCUGACAAUAAAACAACAGUUCCUAUUUAUCUGAUAUUUUAUUGUUCCACUUGCUGUUUCAUUACAAAAGACCAGAUUUCUGGAGCAGGACUGAUUCAGGUUUGGUCACUGACUGUUAAUAACAACCCAUGCCAUCUUAAUUAUUGUUUAAACGGCACCGAAUUGUUCCUUUUGUUUUGAUUUCAAUUUCUCACUUCUCAGGGAUGAAUUUCUUUUUAGUAUAUUUCCCAAUGACAAAAGUUAUUAUGGAAAAAGAGGUCCUUCACCCCAGUUAAGUUUAAAAACUUUUUAAUAAUUAUAGCAUGUUAAAUUAUGCUCCUGUAAUUUGAUCUUUUCUUUUUUAUUGUUUUUAAUUCAUUUGACAGAAUGAAGAAAUUCUUUUUAGUCAAAGAAGUUUUAAAUAGUAAUUAUUUUGGUUUUGAUUUGUUUCUGUUGUCACAACAAUUAAAAAAGAAAUCUUAUAUAUGUAACAUCUAAAUCAAUCCAGUUGGACGACCUAAUGUUAGUGAGAAUUCCUGUUAAAGAAGCACAUAACUUUAUUUGUCCAAUUUUCUUGCAUAUAUGUCUCUAAGACUUUUUUAAUAUAGUAUUUUACCAGAUUGGUGAACUCAGAACAGAAUUUGUAUUUUUUUCCAUUGAUAGAAAAAAUAAUGUACCCUUUUUACAAUAGUGAUUUAUUUAAAAAACUAAAAUUAAUUAUCUUUCUGACAGAACUUAUCACAGUACUUGUAUCCUGAACAAUUAGUACUGGAUUUUAUUACAAUAUAAAGGCCAGAUUUAUUGUGAAUUAAGGGCUGUCUGAAAACUUUUCUUUUAUAUACCAAGAUGCUCUUAACUCUUCCUCCUGAAUAACAGUAGAUUUCAUCUGCAUAAUGUUUUGGUUUUCUUUUUGAAGUAAAAAAAAAAAAUUUGCAUUACUUCUUGCACCUUCUUAUGAAGUCAUUGACUCAACUCAGAAUGCACUUCUGCUUCUCCUGGGGACUUUUAUACCAAAAACAGUUUUAUACAAUAGGUAGAAAUUAUGUAUUAAUAAUUGGGGGGGGGGGAAGAAUAUCAGUUGCAGUAUUUUAAAGAAAUAGAAUUUCUUUGUUUUUGGAGAAAUUUUGUAAAUAAAUUUGAAUUUUUAAGUUAAGCACUUGUUUUUUUAACUUAGUAUAUAUUGAUCCAGUUUUUAAAGACUUAUUAUGUACAAGGCAAAGACAAAAUAAAAAACAGUCCCUUCCUGCAAGAAGCUUACAUUCUCCUGGGGGGAAUAUCAUAUGAAAACAUAUAUAAUAAUUUGAGGAGGGAGAGAGCAUUAAUACCUAGGCAUACAGAAAAGACUUUUGUAAAAUACAGUACAUGGACUGAUCUGCAUAUGAAACCAAGGGGGGACAGUCUUUGCAACACAGAAAUAAGAGAUGAGAUGCCUGUUUCAGAGAACAUUAAAUAGGUCAAUUUGUCAGGAAAAUGGACCUAAAGGUAGAAGCAGCAGCACUUGGCAAGUGAUUGAAUGUGGGGGCUGAAGAAGAGAUGAGAAUGACUAAGGUUGAAAACCUGGAUAAGUAGAAGAAUGGUUGUGCCCUUAGCAGAAACAGAGGAGAGUUUGAGGGGGGAGAUGUUAUGUUUUUGGAGAUUUGGGGAGUUGGACAUAGAAAGUGAUCCAGUGAAGGAGUAGAUAGAUUGAAUAGAAAUAAAAGCAAGAGAACAAUGUCAUGAAAACUCAGGGUUGAAAAUACGAGAGGGUAAGUAACAAUAUUGUGGUUUUUUUCCUUUUCUUUUGUUGAGGCAAUUGGGGUUAAGUGACUUGCCUAGGGUCACACAGCUAGGAAGUAUUAAAUGUCUGAGGUCAAAUUUGAAGUCAGGUCCUCCUAACUCCAGGGCCAGUGCUCUAACCAUUGUGUCACCUAGAUGCCCCAGUAGGUAAUAAAAUAUUAAGUGUUAGCAGAGAGACUGAAAAGGAGCAGCAAGAAAAGGGCAUUAUUUCUAGUAAGUAAGAUACUCAUCAUUGGUAUUCUUGGAGAAGGCAGUUUUAGUUGAGUAGUAGAGUCAGAUGGAAAAUUGAAAGAAACUGCAGAAUAGAAAAAAAGAAGGAAAGCCGAAAGUAUAGGUGACUUUUUCUUGGAGUUUUUAACAAUAUUGUUGAUUUUAAAAAAAAAAAUUCCAAAAUUGUAUAUAAUAAUUGUUUUGUCUUUUACUAUAAAACUGGAGGGCAUACAUUUUGUGAAACUAUAGCAGCAACAUAUUUAAAAAAUUAAAAGAGAGCAAGAUUAGGUACCUUUAUUUUUUUCCCCCUGAGGCAAUUGGAGUUAAGUGACUUGCCUAGGGUCACACAGCUAGGAAGUUUUAAGUGUCUGAGGUCACAUUUGAACUCAGGUCUUCCUGAUUUCAGGGCUGGUGCCCUAUCCAUUGCACCACCUAGCUGUCCCAUCAGGUACCUUUCCAUGGCUAGGGGGAGAGUUAUUAAAAGAUAAAGAGGCAUUCACAAAAUAUAAUUUCAGUUGUAUGAUAUGAAAAGCUUUUGCACAAAAUCUGCAUCUAGCAUAAGAAGGGAAACAUAAGAUACACACAUGUGUAUACAUUAUAUACAUACAUAUACAUAUACACAUAUAUAUGAUAAAAACUGAAUGCUGUGUCAUAAUACAUACAUAAACAUAACUAAGGGCUAUCCCUGAAUGGAUGUGAUCAAGAAUCAUUACAAUUCUUAACAGUUCUGAAAGAACUGCAAACUAUUAAACCAUAUGAAAGAGAAAUCAAAACUACCUAGAUACCACCCCAUAGCAAAUUGGUAAAAUGACAAAAAUGGAAAUUCUUUAUGUUGGAGGGGUUGGUGAAAGACAGUGCACUAUUACACAGUUGGUAGGUCUGUUAAUUGUCCAGCCAUUCUAGAAAACAAUUUGAAGGAAUUCUGAGAAAAUGACUAAAAUGUGCAUAUAUCCAAAUGUCCUUUUAUUCACUUAUGUGGACAUUAUGCUUCAGGGCUUGAAAAAUAGAAAGAUACACAUAUAUACACAAACAUUCAUAGCAAAACUAUUUGUAAUAACUAAAAUUAGGAAACUUAAAUAGUAGAUAAUAAAUGCCCAUUAACUGGGAAAUCAUUAAACAAAUUAUACAUGAAUAUUGUGAAACUCAAGCAGUUCCUGCCCCAAGGAAUCCCUCUCAUUCUGAUUGAAGAACUCCUCCCUGAUCCUCAACUAUUUAAGAAUGACACCCAGAGAAUUCUCAUCUUUUCCUAUAUGGCUACUUUCCUGGACUUCAUCUUCUUUAGAAACUUAUUAUUCUGCAAAAUGAAAUCAACAUACCUCCUCAGAUCAUUUUCUACUUUGGCUCCAGAAUUUUCAUUAUGCCUCACCCCAUUGGGCAACUGUUCUCCCUCCCUGCCCCUUUCCAGUCUAUUUUUUAUUGUCUUCUCCUUCCCCCCCCCCCCCCCAUUAGAUUGUGACCACCUCAGAGACAGGACCAAUUUUAUGCCUUUCUUUGUAUCAGUACUUAGUGUAUGAGGUGCAUAACAUUUAUUGAAACAGCAUCUUCUUCUACUAGUACUCCCCCCCCCCCCCCCCCCCCCCAUUAGAUUGUGACCACCUCAGAGACAGGACCAAUUUUAUGCCUUUCUUUGUAUCAGUACUUAGUGUAUGAGGUGCAUAACAUUUAUUGAAUGUAAUUGCACAUAAGAAAAUAUGAAUUCAGGAAUCACAAGAAGGUUUAUAGGAACCACUGUAAAAAUAAGGUAACCAGAACUCAAAAAAUCAAUAUUCACAAAUGUAAAUAGAAAAACAGAAAAGAAACUGAAUGCUAUGUAAUUAUAAUGACCAAGCUUGGUCUUGAAGAAAUCAGAAGAUGCACUUCCCUUCCUUCUAUGCAAAUGGAAUAGUGGACACUGAGUGAGGAAUGUGGCAUAUACUCUCAGAUUUAGUUUGACAUAUUGGUUAGUUGUGCUGAAUUGGGCUUUUCUUUCUCUUUUAUUUUUAUUCUUUUAUGAGAGAGUGAGGGACGAACUUGAAAAUGAUAGUAUGCAAAAAACAGAAGAUAGCCUUUUUAAAAAAAAGAAAUCAGAGCACCUCAAGAUUUAGAACUGGAAGGAGUAUCAAUCAGUUCUUUUCCAAUCCCCUUACUUUACAGAUGAGGAAACUGAAGUCUUGAGAAGUUAAAUCAUCUGCCCAGUAUUACAUAGAUAGUAAAUAAAGAUACAUUGUUAUAUUAUUCAGAAGUUAUUCUUUCUAAAAACUGUUACACAGAAAAGAAAUUAUUAAUAUUUUCAAACCAAUUUUCAAAAAGAAAAUGGUACAGAAUGUCAAGAAGGGUAAGGAAUCUAGACUGCUUUUCUUCAGUUUAGAAAAGAACUAACUUGAUCAUGUCAAAGUAUAUUGAAUGUUACCAUAUAAUCAGUGUGAAAAUUGAUAUUCAAAUCACAACAGUAUAAAAUUUACUUGUUUCCUAGGCAGCUUUAGCUCUUUGUGUUUCUUCCUUUUGCUUACAUGAGAAGUUUACAAAACACGAAAAAUACUGAAUGUUUCCUUUUUCAAGUAAAAAGGCCAUUUCUCUUGGCCUGGGGCUUGAAAUGAUAUGAAAACUAGAAAAUAAUUUCAGUUUUUAAAUUUCUUGAUGGCUUUAUAGUACUAACAUACCAAAUAAUCAAAUACGUUAUUACAAAGAAUUCAUGUAAAAUAUGCAGGAUACCUGAAUUUGUAGCAGAUUUUAAAAGCUUCCAACUUUAAAGAAAUUCCCUAUUAUAUGUAAUCAAUUGUACAGAACAUAAGAAUGACAAUCCUUGGUCUGGUACAAUAUAUGUGUGUGUGUGUGUGUGUGUAUAUAUAUAUAUAUAUAUAUAUAUAUACACCAAUGUGUAUACACACACACACACACACACACACAUCUACACAGGCUUUAUUUUGCCUUUAUGACGUUUUAGGAACAAGAGCCCUAUAUUCUACAGGCUCAAGUACAGAAUCAAAAAUCUGUUUCAAUCAGAUAACUUUGUUAGGUUGCAAGGUACUAACUGUUGAAAUAGUUUGUUUCCAUGCCUGCCACUUAAUCUAAAUUAUAACAGUGCUUGACAGGAGACCUGUAAGCUUUUAUAGGUUGGCCCCAGUUUUCCCAGGAUAGUCCUGACUCAGGAACCAUAAAAUCUUAUUUUAGCAGACAAUAACUCAAGUGCCUGCCCACAUCCUUCCCUUAUGAUCCGCUCCAAGGAUUAACAAGGUGUGGUCAUCCUGGACUCCAAAUGCCCACAAGCUGCUGGGACCUACAGGCCUCUGAACCCGUGCUUAGUCUUUCUAGCUAUUACAGACUGAUUUACUAUUGUAAAUGUUAGCCUAGUCUGGCUUUUUUUUUUUUUUUUUUUAAAUAUGAAAUCACAUAAUGCUUUAAAUGUUGAAAUAUAUGCUCACACAAUUGGGUAUCUAAAGGCAAGACCCAAACCAGUUCUAGUACACAUAUACAUAUAUACACAUAGACAUAAAAAUGUGAACGUAUGUAUAUGUAUAUAUAUACAGGUAU